GACGAACGCUGGCGGCGUGCUUAACACAUGCAAGUCGAACGAAGUGGCGAACGGGUGAGUAACGCGUAAUCAACCUGCCCUUCAGAGGGGGACAACAGUUGGAAACGACUGCUAAUACCGCAUACUGAAGGAGGGGAUUGAGUGGGAUUAGCUAGUUGGAGGGGUAACGGCCCACCAAGGCGAUGAUCAGUAGGCGGUCUUGGGAGGUGAACCGGCACAAUGGGGCUGGGGCACGGGCCAGGCUCCUACGGGAGGGAAGAGUGGGGAAACUUCCGGAAUGGGGGAAAGUCUGGAGGAGCAAAGGCGGGUGAGAUAUGACGGGCUUUGGGUUGGAAAGGUCUGUUAAUCGGGAAGCGGUACCGGAAUAGAAAGCAACGGCUAACUACGUGCCAGCAGCCGCGGUAAUUC
rnacentral:rRNA from 1 species